rnacentral:rRNA from 1 species
UAAUACGUAGGGUGCAAGCGUUAAUCGGAAUUACUGGGCGUAAAGCGUGCGCAGGCGGUUGUGCAAGACAGGUGUGAAAUCCCCGGGCUUAACCUGGGAACUGCACUUGUGACUGCACAGCUGGAGUACGGCAGAGGGGGAUGGAAUUCCGCGUGUAGCAGUGAAAUGCGUAGAUAUGCGGAGGAACACCGAUGGCGAAGGCAGUCCCCUGGGCCUGUACUGACGCUCAUGCACGAAAGCGUGGGGAGCAAACAGGAUUAGAUACCCUGGUAGUCCACGCCCUA